rnacentral:rRNA from 1 species
UACAGCCUGAUCAACCAUGCCGCGUGAGUGAUGAAGGCCUUAGGGUCGUAAAGCUCUUUCGCCUGAGAUGAUAAUGACAGUAUCUGGUAAAGAAACCCCGGCUAACUCCGUGCCAGCAGCCGCGGUAAUACGGAGGGGGUUAGCGUUGUUCGGAAUUACUGGGCGUAAAGCGCGCGUAGGCGGAUUAGUCAGUUAGAGGUGAAAUCCCGGGGCUCAACCCCGGAACUGCCUUUAAUACUGCUAGUCUUGAGUUCGAGAGAGGUGAGUGGAAUUCCGAGUGUAGAGGUGAAAUUCAUAUAUAUUCGGAGGAACACCAUUGGCGAAGGCGGCUCACUGGCUCGAUACUGACGCUGAGGUGCGAAAGUGUGGGGAGCAAACAGGAUUAAAUACCCUGGUAGUCCACACCAUAAACGAUGAAUGCCAUUCGUCGGGUAGCAUGCUAUUCGGUGACACACCUAACGGAUUAAGCAUUCCGCCUGGGGAGUACGGUCGCAAGAUUAAAACUCAAAGGAAUUGACGGAUACU